rnacentral:rRNA from 1 species
UACAGAGGUCUCAAGCGUUUGUUCGGAUUCAUUGGGCGUAAAGGGUGCGUAGGCGGCGCGGUAAGUCGGGUGUGAAAUCUCGGAGCUUAACUCCGAAACUGCAUUCGAUACUGCCGUGCUUGAGGACUGGAGAGGAGACUGGAAUUUACGGUGUAGCGGUGAAAUGCGUAGAUAUCGUAAGGAAGACCAGUGGCGAAGGCGGGUCUCUGGACAGUUCCUGACGCUGGAGGCACGAAGGUCAGGGGAGCAAACGGG